UUUUUUUUUUUUUUUAAUGAUUCCCUUUUAAUCGCUUGAUUAUAGUUAAGAGCUCAGAGACGAGAUAUACAUUUCUUCACUCUCUUUUUAAAAAUAUUUCCUUAUGACUUAAAAGAAGUCGGUUUUUACUUUGGCCUUGUCUCUGCUGCCGGGUUGCCUGAUGGAUUUUUCUCUGCACAAGCCCAACCCGGCUCCCACCCCUGUGUUUACUUGCCAUGUUUUCUGGUAAUUCUCGUGAUUUCAGUCCUUUCCCCGUGCUAUUGUGCUGGGCACCUACUGGAAACAGCCAUCUUCUUGUCCCUACCUGUUGAUCCACUCUUCUGUCUCGGGGUUUCCUCCAGGAUCAGCCAUCAGGGAGGUUUUCUUUUCCUUCUGCCUCUCUCUCUCUCUCGAGGUCUGAUGAGUUCUAUUCUCUUUCAUUCCACAGUGUAUUGAGCAUUACAAAGUGUACUUGUAGGAUUAAGCUUAUUUGUUGGCAAACUUGUCUUCUUCCCUGGCCUGUUGGCUCCUUGACCACCGGCCUGAACCACUUUUUUUUUUUUUUUUUUUUAAGAUUUUAUUCGUUUAUUCAUGAGAGACACAGACAUAGGCAGAAGGAAAAGCAGGCUCCCUACGGGGAGCCUGAUGCAGGACUCCAUCCUAGGACCUCGAGAUCAUGACCUGAGCCAAAGGCAGACGGUCAACUACUGAGCCACCCAGGCACCCCUGAGGCACUCAUUUUUAUAGGCCUGGCCAUAGUAGUGCUGAUGGAACAUUUACUGAACAAAUGUUCAGUACAUUCUCUUUUGUUAUAUACAACAAAAUAAUUCAAAGUUAGCAGGGAGCAUUUGAUGUAAAAGAGAUUUGUGAAAUGAAUGAGAGCUUAUGUUUUAUUGUUUGUUCUGAGACAGGGAGAGCAACAUAUAUUUAUGAAAUAUGGGUAAAAAUAAUUGACUUGGUGAUUAUGGGGCAAACCAUCUUGGAAGAUGGCAUAGUGAGGUAUAGCAAGUUCAUUGGCAGAGUUCUAGGCAGAAUUUUGCCACAGAGCCUAGCCACAGUCUGUGGAAGCUCCCCCUUCUGGCCUUAAUAUUCUCAUCUUGUAGAACAGAGAGAAAGGACAAAAUAGUCUUACAUGAAUUUCAGGUCAUUCACGCUCUGGAGACCUAUUAUCCAUCAUAACAAUUGCCAUUAGGGGUCGUCUGUCACUGCCAAGGAGGCCUGGCUCUAGCCCUAUAUAAGGGUACCUACCCAUUUUUUGUACCUUAUGCAGAUUUUGGGUCCUCUAGGUUCUUUUUCUUAGUUUCCUCUAGUCAUGCUCUUCUUCCCCCUUCCUUUAGACUUGUAAGUUUUGCCCUGGAGCUGCUGAAUAGUUGAACAUCAUAUUACAUGGCCCUCCCAUCCUCCUGUAGGGUAACCUCAUUGCCUCCCCACUGCCUGCCUCUACCUCAUUGCACCAGACAGGCCUUAGCACCUCUCCAGCUAGUCCUUACACUGCAACUGGCCCAGGUGGGAUUUUAGGGCCUCAUGGCAAAAUGCCCUGUCUUCAAUUUUGUGCUAAAGCUGUAUUGCCAUUGGGACGCCUGAGUAGCUCAGCCGUUGAGCAUCUGCCUCCAACUCACGGUGUGACCCAGAAUCCCCGGAUCAAGUCCCAAAUCAGGCUCCCUGUGUGGAGCCUGCUUCUCCCUCUGCCUUUGUUCUCUGCUUCUCUCUCUCUGUCUCUCAUGAACAAAUAAAUAAAAUCUUUAAAAAAAAACUGUUUUGCCAUAAACGUCUCCAGUUGCUUCACCAUCAGCACACCUCCUUUUCUUCUCUUUUCCAGAAUCCACCUCACUUAAUAUGACAGUUAGUAAAUAGUUCUGAUCACAGAAAGUUUACUGCAGGUGAUAGAUAUUUACUUACACUGCUGAUCCUUGCAGUGUCCCCAAGGGUAGAUAUUUUAUAUUAAUUUUAGAGAUGAGGAAACCGAGUCUCAGAUUGUUUAAAUAACUUGCCCACAUUGCCCAACUCCAAAGCUGGUGCUGUUUCUGCUGCACUAUGUUACAUUUCAGCAUAUGGAGGCCCAGGUCAAUUUUUGUUGUUUUGUUCAUGUCAGCUCUUUAUGUGUUUCAGAAACAGUGUUGUCUCACCAAAGAGAAAGACAUUCCACUGCAUUUUAUAAUACAUCAACUUGCUAUUUUAUUUUUUCUUUCAUAGUCUUCUGCUCUGUGUAUCUUUACACAUAUUUUAAAGAGUUAAGAUCAUAAUAUGGAUAUAGUCCUUAUUCUAAAAAUAAUUCCAUAAGCACUUUCUUUGUUGCUCUUUUCUCUAUUGUCAUCUUAAUGGUGCAUAAUUUUUGUCAGAUUGGUUUAUCAUACUUUUAAAGAUCUUUUUCCUGCUGCAGAACUUUGAGGUUAUUUCCAUUUUGUGCUGUGAUAAAUUAUGUUAUAAUAAUGAUAUUUAUGUACUUUUUAAGAUUAAUGGUAAUACAUUGGCUUUUAAAACCUUUUUUAUCAUGGAAAUUGUGAAAUAUUCACAAGAGAUUAGAAGGGACCUGCAUCUACCUGUCACUCUGCUUCAACAAAAAUUAACAUUUUGCUCAUGUUGUCUCAGCUACAACACCAUUUUUUUUUUUUUUUUUUUUUGGAGAACAUUAAAGAAAAUUUCCAAGUAUCUUGUCAUUGCACUUCAGGAUAGACUUGUAACUGAUAAGGACUUUCCCCAGUGUCAUCUAAUAGUCUGUGUUUAAAUUUCCCUGAUUAUCUCCAGAGUGACUUUUCACAUUAAGUUUGUGCAAGGUAGGAUCCAAAUACAGUCUACAUGUUGCAAUUGGUUGUUAACAUCAUUAAAGUUUCAUUUAUUCUAAAUGGUACACACACACACACACACACACACACACACUCUCACUCAUUUUUUAAUGCCAUCAAUUUGUUGGAGAAGCUAUGUCAGAAUUUCUGUAGAAGGUCCAACAUUCUAAGAUUAGUGGUUUCUUCAAGGUAGCCUCAACUGCUAUCCUUAUCUAUUCUAUUUGUUUUAACUGAUAGAUGUGAGUACUUUCAAUAAGAUGGUGGUUCAAUUUCUUAAGAAAAAUAUUUUGUAAGUGCUGUCCAUUUCACUUUGAGGUCAAACUUCUUAGAACAUUUUACCAGGUCACAAGCUUCUUUUCUUUCUUGUUCUGCCCCAAAGCCUCUUGUAUAGGCAAUUUAUUAAUAUACAAGCCCAUUCACGUCAGGCACAUGUAACUAGAUCCCUGCUAAUCCCAGCCUCUUCUGUCCCACCUACUGGACCCAGUGUUAACAUUAACCAAUUUCCUUGUAGCCCAGUCAACCUUAUUAGAAAACUAGGAAUUGCCUGAAAUACUUUUGAAAGCAGUUAGUGGCCCAAGAAAGCCUGGAUUUGAAAGAGAAAUAAUUGAGAAUUGAGGAAGCAUGCCUCAAUUGUAGACAUUGAAUGUUCUGGUUCAAAGGUUAAGUUCAAGUAUAUGGGGCACGACUGUUAUAUUGAUGACUUCACAUGUCAGAGAAGGCCUGAGACCUACAUCUGUUUUUAUGCUUCUACACUAUUUAAGCUUAGGGUAGUUUGAGGUUUCUCUUUCUUAGAGUAUUAAGGCCAUUAUCAUGAACCACUAAGUUCUAAUGGGUCUGCUUCCAUCAUACUGAAUCUCUGGGCACCACGAGGGAGCCCUGGCUAGAGCAGGAGAGUAGGACACUUUCUUUUCUUCCUAGGACACAUCCCACCUUGUAUUUUAGAUACAGCAUUUCAGGGCCUCUUCAGGGCCACACAUGAUACCCAAAGUCCCACCAGACAGAACAAAGAGAUGUCCAAGACUUGAGAUUCCCAGAAUUGUCCAGGAAUUGGGAGAGGCAGAGUGAGUCUCUCCUAUCUUCCUGGUCCCAGAAAACUGUAAGGCAUGUGUGGCUUUCCCUUUAGGUCAUUAGGCAAAGUGAGAUCGUCCGCCUGGUUUGCCUGACUAUUCCAACCUCCUAUAUUUUUACACUCUGGAUAAAUCCUUAGCAUUAGUGGACAAGUACCAAAAAUGGACAAUCAGUUUCUGCCUUGAGAUCUGGUAUGGACUUAACUCUUUGCUAGAAAAGAAAAGCAACCCUUCCAUUCUUCUUCUGUGAGCUUAUCCAAAUUUUGUCUUUUUCUUUCAGUAUCUUCUAUUUAUUUAAUUCUUCUGUUUGCUUGUGUUGGUAAAAACCACUUUACUGAGGUAUAAUUGACAUACGAAAACUGUACAUACAUACUGUACACAACUUGAGUUUGGAGAGGAGUAUACACUGUAAAGCCAUCACCACAAUCUAUGCCAAAAAUCUGUCCAUUACCCAAAAGAUUUUUGCUGCCCUCUUAUUUUUUCUCAUUUAUUUAAUUCUUAUCUUGAAAAGAACCUUUCUAUAAUCCAUGGAUACCUUUUGCUCUUUGUUUACAAUGUUAACUUGCUGUAUCCUCAUCAUUCCCUGUGAAUAUAUACAAUUGGUAAUCUGGGGAAUUGGGUACUCCCCAGAAGUGUUCAGUCUAUACUCAUUUCCUUCUAUUGCAUAAGCAGUUCUGGCUUUUAAGCAAACAAAGGAGUAAAUUUUGGAGUCAACUAAAAUAAAAGCUUGACUAUCAGACAUGAAUCAAAUGUGCUCUACAGACUAAUCCAUUAUUCGAGUAUAUCUGGGACUACAUAAAUUAAUCUUAAUCAUGUUUAUUCUUUUAAAAACAUCAACAGUUAAAAAUUGCAUAUCUCAUUAUUAAAAAUGGUUUUGGAGCUGAGAUGUAAUCUCCUAAAUUAAGGAAUAAAAAUAAGAGCAGGAUGAUCCAGCUAACCAUUUUUCUUCUUAAAACUUGAAAUAAAUGGAGAUCAAGAAUGUUAGACAUCUUUAAAUAAAUCAGAGGUCUUAUGACAUUUCUAAUAUUUUAUUAACAAAGUUUUGAUUUGAUUUAUCUAUGUAAAAUAACUAGCAAGGUAUUCUCUAAGUGCUGAGACAUAAAUUACAAACACGAAACCUUGAUUUAUGUUAAUGGUGGAUAAUAUGUGGGACAUGGCAAGUUAUCACGGAUUUUACAAUAUUCCCCAAGUUGGGGAUGGAAUCAUAGAAAAGUACUGGAGAAACUGCUGCCUUAGGCUCCAUUUGUUGAUAUAUAGAUGAUGGCUGUCUUCUAAGAAAUGAUAUAAUCCUGAUGAUGUGAACUUGCACUUCUAUUCCAGGCACCUCCAGAUUUUAGCGAAAUCUGCUCGACAUUUCCGAGUCCCUAUGAUGGAUCAGAGGCAUUCAGAUCUCUGCAAGGAUGGCAGAGGAGGAAAAACAAAAAACUGUCAGCAUUGCUGCACACAGGCUGAUGCUCUGUUGACCUGUGCCAUGUGAACAAGCCAGCAUUGUGCAUGGCUCCCAGAGCCCUGGCUCUUCCUGCACUUCUUUCUCCCCGACUCAAGAAACCAUUUGGGGAUGCAAGUGAGAUUGCCGAAAACAGAAACCCAACUCCAGCUAGCUAGCAUGAGAGGAAUAUAUUGAUGGGACACUCAGAUCCUGAAAUCUAUAAGUUAAAAUAACCAGUCUUUGGAUCAACUAGAUCCAGGCAACUCCGGGGACGUCAGAAAAAGAAAAUUAUGGACCUCUUCUCCAGGACACUGACAUUCGAAUUUCUCAUUUUUAGUGACCUGCAGCAUCAGAUGGACCAGCUCUGGCUAGGAAGAUGGGUUGUGUGGUAUAUACACGGUUGCUGGAGGCUUCUCCUCUGUAUCAGGGGCAACAAGGCAAGGGGAAUAUUGGGAGCUAAGAAAUUUUUAAGGCUUUAAUGAGAUGUAAUUGUCAUAUAAUAAACUACACAUAUUUAGAAUGUACAAAUUGAUGCAUUUUGAAAUAUACAUAAAAUUAUAUACAAUUAUAUUUAUGUUAUAUAUAUAUUAAUCUGGAAAACAAUGACUGAUGAAAAUAAUGACUAUAUUCAUCAUUGCUGAAAGUUUCUUUGUGCUCUCUUGUAUUCCCUCCCUCCUACCUCUCCAUGCCCCUCUACUUGUUCCCAGGCAAUCACUGAUCUGCCUCUUACUAUAGAUUAAUUUGCAUUUUCUAGAAUUGGGUAUAAAUGGGUAUAAAUGUAAUAUGUACUCUUUUUUGUCUGGCUUUUUGCACUUGGCAUUAUGAUUUUGAGAUUCAUUCAUGUUGUAGCAUGUAUCAGUACUUCACUCCUUUUUAUGAAUGUGUAAUAUUCCAUGGUAUGGAUACACCACAGUUUAUUCUUUCAAUUCUUCCUGGACUUUUAGGUUGCUUCUGGUUUGGGGCUAUUACCAAUAAACCUGCUAUGAAAAUUCAUGCACAAGGCUUUGUUUAGACAUAUGCUUGCAUUUUUCUUGGUUAAAAACCUAGGACUAGAAUGGCUGGGUCAUCUUGUAGGUGUAUAAUUAAUUUUUUUUCAGAACCAGCCAAGCAGUUUUCCAAAGAGACUGUAGCAUUUUACAUUCCCACCAGCAAUAUAUGAGAGUUCUAAUUGUUGCAUAUCCUCACUUCUACUUGGUAUUUAUCCAGAAUUUAUUUUUAGAAAAUUCUCAAAACUUAAUUCUAAGAAGACCAACAACCUAAUUUUUAAAAAUGAGUAAAAGAUUUCAAUAGAUAAUUUCCAAAGCAGAUACACGGUGGCAAAUAUGCACAUGAAAAGAUAUUCAACAUCAUUAGUCAGUAGAAAAAUGAGAAUUAAAAGUGCAAUGGCAUGCUUAUUCAAAAAAUAACAUCAAAAGGAGGCUAAUAAUUUGACAUUAUGAUGCCCAUUUUAUAGAUAAGAAAACUGAGGCUCUAGGAAUUACGUGCCUUGACCAAGGUUGACCAGCUAUGAGGUGGUAGAAGUUGAAUUUGAACCUGGGUCUGCUAAUCCCUGCUUAAUAUUUUUAAAAAUAUUUUUAUUUAUUUGUCUGAGACAGAGAGAGAGCACAAGCAGGGGGAGUGGUGAAGGGAGAGGGUGAAGUAGAUGCCCUGCUGAGCACAGAGCCAAAUGGGGGGCUCCAUCCAUCCCAGGACCCUGCCAAGAUCAAGACCUGAGCAGAAGUUGGAUGGUUAACUGACUGAGCCACCCAGGUGCCCUCCGCCCCCAGCCCCCAACCUGGCUGCAUAAUCUUGAUGCUAGGCCAGCAACAGUCCUUUGAAGUAGGCUUCACAAGCAAGAUUGAAAGCAGAGAAACUCACUUAUUAUUCAGGAAUACAUCCAUUUCCUCUCCUGAUGAGACAGGCUAUCACCAUUCACAGGGGACACUAUGCAACUUUAAGUUUUGGUGUCUAUUUUGCCUAAAGGAUAAAUUCUGUUUUUCCAACAUCCAGCUUGUCUAGAUGCCUCUGAGAGAGGUAUUCAAAGUGUAGAAUGCCCACCAAAGCUUCAUUGGUCCAACAAAGACUGUUUAACCACAAUAAUUACAAAUAUGAGGGGUUUUUUUUUGACUCAGUCUUCAUUUGAAUCACAGAUCUAGUGUUUCUUAAAUAUGUGAUCUUGGACAAGUUACAAGUUUGAUAUGUUUGCCCAUAGAUUGAAUGAUACUGACCUUAUGGUGUUUUAAGGGUUAGAGCUGAUGUACAUAUAGAUUUUACCACAAUGUCCUAUACUUAAUGUAUUCCCAAAAUACUGUUUACCACAUCACAAAUAAUAAUAUAUAACCACCCUAAUAAUAGGUGUGUUAAGCUUCUCACUCACUAUGAAACCUGAAUAAAACACAAAUUCAUCACUAGCUGAUGUCUUACUCCCUCCUUUAGGAAAUACUAAUCCACCGACAGCCAGCGUUUGUUCUGUUUUGUUUUUUUUUUAGAUUUUAUUUAUUUAUUUAUGAGACACACACACACACACACACACACACACACACACACACACACACACACAGAGGCAGAGACACAGGCAGAGGCAGAAGCAGGCUCCAUGCAGGGAGCCUGACGUAGGACUCCAUCCCUGGUCUCCAGGAUUAGGCCUUGGGCUGAAGGUGGCGCUAAACCGCUGAGCCACCCCGUCUGCCCAGUGGUCUUUAAUUCUAUAGAAACUACUAAGCCAGUGAAACAUUUACCCUUUAGUUGUAAAUUUAUCCUUUAGUUAGAAAUAUUCUUUGAAGGGAGUGUCUGUGGUUGCUGUUGGACCACAUCAGCUGAGCACCCGCAUGGAAUUUUUAAGAGUUCUGUGAUUGGAUAUGCAGGAAUCACAUGAUGUAAAGAAAUCAAAGUAAGUGUGAUAAAGAGCUCUGCAGGGGCGCCUGGGGGUCUCAGAGGUUGAGCAUCUGCUUCACUCUGGGUCUGGUAGGUGGUGAUCUUCGGGUCCUGGGCUUGAGUCCUAAGUCUGGCUCCCUUCUCAGCAGGGAGUCUGCUUCUCCCUCUCCUUCUGCCCUCCCCCCUGCUUGGGCUCUCUCUGUCUCUCUCUCAAAUGAAUAAAA
rnacentral:lncRNA from 1 species